UUUGCCUGGGGCUGGGUUAGCAGGUGCCCAGAAAGUGCACUGGGCAGCCUGGGGACAGCCUCAGCCCUCUGGACACUGUGGUCUCUGGUGGACAGGGAGGGAGGGAGGGAGCUCCUUUGGCGGGAAUCUGUACAGGGCCCUGCAGGUCCCACCCAGUCUGUGGACCAGCAGGGCUCUGAACCUCCUGGGGGAAGGGGUGGAAGCUUCCCCUGGUUUGCCCAGUGCCAAGCCCCACCGUCUGGGGGUCCCAGGUCUGCUUCUAGGAGACAGGACACAUCUGCCUCCCAGGAGAGGGGCCUAGUAUGCGAUUGGGGUGGGGAAGGAAAGGGUGGGAGUGCCAAAGCUGGGCGUUUGGGUUCUAGGAGACAUCUCCUGGGCCCAACUUCCCCCACCCCCCAGGACUGCACGAUGGGUGAGAGGCGCGGACGCCUGACCCCUAGUGGUGGUUACAAUAACGACACCGCCAAACGCUGGGGCGGGGCUAGGAAUCUGGACGUUCAACAGCAGGGACAGUCAUCGCCCAGCGUUUCCGCAGCCCGGGACCGCUAGCACAGGUCUGAUGCCACCGAAUUCCCCAGGCGAUCGGGUGUUACGAUCACCCCCGCUGUGUAGAUAGGCCACGUGAGGCUCGGAGAGAGAGAGAGAGGCAGAGACACAGGCAGAGGGAGAAGCAGACUCCAUGCAGGGAGCCUCAUGUGGGACUCGAUCCCAGGACCCCGGGAUCACGACCUGAACCAAAUGCAGAUGCUCAACCACUGAGCCACCCAGGUGCCCCUGGGCUGGACACCUCUCUGAAACCCCACAUGAGCCCACCAGCCGGAUGGGAAAACAAAGGUGGAUCCAGAAAUGUGGAUGAUUCCCCCUGGAAGCAGAGCAAGGGUCACAGCAAGAAGACGGCCAUCUACGAAGUGGGAAGCGCCUCUCACCAGACACCAAAUCUGCAUGCUCCUUGGUCUGCAACGUCCAGCCUUCGGAUGGUGUGCGACCCUGCAGGAAUUCCCGGUGCUGCUGGCGACACGUGGUGGAAACUUCCAGAGCUUUGGACACGGCGGGAUGCUGGCAGCAGGUAAAGGCCCGGAGCUGGCACGGAGGGCAGCUCACGAUCCUCAGGAUGGUGACUCUGCAUCUGUCAGGGCUUUGGGGACAGCCAGGGUUUUCAUAGUUGUGGCAUGACAACUGUCCCUGGCAAAGGGAAACAUUAUGGAUAAAGGAAUCAAGACCAGAGUGUAAGGGAGUUGCCCAAAGACACACAGUAGCUGCUAAGUUGGGACCAGAAUGCUCGGUUCUGAGUCUUAGUGUGCUGCUCCAUUUACCUGGGGUUCCCGGUGGGUAUUGGGGUGCAAACUGAUGGGCUAAUUGUUGGGGCCAUCUCAGGGCCUCAGGGCCUCCCUCUGGAUACAGGGAUGCUAAGUCCACUCUCCACUUGUCAGCUGUUACCUAGAGCAGACCUCCCACCCCCACCCCCCCACCCCCCAGCAAAUCAAAGGGACAGAAAAGAUAAUAAGGUCAGUAACAUGGAAGUUCUGCUUAAUGUAAACUUUUCUGCUAAAUGUAACACUGCCUGUGGGGGGCGGGGAGCAGAUAGGGAAUGGUUCUGGAAUCUCCUGAGGAAUGCUUUGGAAGGCCUCCUGGUUUCCCGCUGGUACAGCCUUCAGGCAGCCCCUAUUACUAUGCACAACAGUGUCGGUCCACUGGAGUCACCAGGGCAGCCGGAGGCCCGGGGCAGGCACGCAGGCCUGGGGCGCUGCCCGCAGUACCCGUGGGGCUCGGGCUGGGGAGCACCGCACACUUCCCAGCAGCCCGGGGUGCUUUUCCGGAGUCCAGGCCUCUCCGAGAAUUGUUAAAGCUUGCUUCCAUCUACACCAUAACCUAAGAGGCAGCGGCACAUUCUGGGUCAUCUCAAUGACUUCCCGAUGGCCAGGUUCUGCUGCCUUCUGAGUCCGAGGCUGUUUGCACUGACCGUGGCUGAGGCACCAUCCUUCUUUGUGAUGAGCCCAUGACGGGUGGGCUCGGGAAGCGAGUAAAGGCCGUCCCGUGCCCUGUGUGGACGGUGGGCAUCUCAACCACACCGCAGCAGACGGCUGUCUGGAAGGGGGCCCCACAGAAGGGCUCAUCUACUCAUCCGUUCCACUGGCGAGGAUCCUUGUGGGGCCGUCACUGGGAACCCUGCUCCAAGGACCUCUCAGAACCCAGUGAGAGCACUGGUAAAAACUGUCCCCCCAAAAAUAGACUUCUCCAGAACUCUGGAAAUGAACUAAAGGCUUGUAACAACCCGGUAGUGUUCAUUUAAGAAAAGCGACUGAUUCUCGGCACAAGUGAGCCUUGUGACAUUGUCAC